UACGAAGGGGGCUAGCGUUGUUCGGAUUUACUGGGCGUAAAGCGCGUGUAGGCGGGCCGUUAAGUUGGGGGUGAAAGCCCGGAGCUCAACUCCGGAACUGCCUUCAAAACUGGCGACCUGGAGCAUGUCAGAGGCGAGUGGAAUUGCGAGUGUAGACGUGAAAUUCGUAGAUAUUCGCAGGAACACCAGUGGCGAAAGCGACUCGCUGGGACAUUGCUGACGCUGAGACGCGAAAGCGUGGGUAGCAAACAGG
rnacentral:rRNA from 1 species